AGUCGAGCGGACAGAUGGGAGCUUGCUCCCUGAUGUUAGCGGCGGACGGGUGAGUAACACGUGGGUAACCUGCCUGUAAGACUGGGAUAACUCCGGGAAACCGGGGCUAAUACCGGAUGCUUGUUUGAACCGCAUGGUUCAAACAUAAAAGGUGGCUUCGGCUACCACUUACAGAUGGACCCGCGGCGCAUUAGCUAGUUGGUGAGGUAACGGCUCACCAAGGCGACGAUGCGUAGCCGACCUGAGAGGGUGAUCGGCCACACUGGGACUGAGACACGGCCCAGACUCCUACGGGAGGCAGCAGUAGGGAAUCUUCCGCAAUGGACGAAAGUCUGACGGAGCAACGCCGCGUGAGUGAUGAAGGUUUUCGGAUCGUAAAGCUCUGUUGUUAGGGAAGAACAAGUGCCGUUCAAAUAGGGCGGCACCUUGACGGUACCUAACCAGAAAGCCACGGCUAACUACGUGCCAGCAGCCGCGGUAAUACGUAGGUGGCAAGCGUUGUCCGGAAUUAUUGGGCGUAAAGGGCUCGCAGGCGGUUUCUUAAGUCUGAUGUGAAAGCCCCCGGCUCAACCGGGGAGGGUCAUUGGAAACUGGGGAACUUGAGUGCAGAAGAGGAGAGUGGAAUUCCACGUGUAGCGGUGAAAUGCGUAGAGAUGUGGAGGAACACCAGUGGCGAAGGCGACUCUCUGGUCUGUAACUGACGCUGAGGAGCGAAAGCGUGGGGGAGCGAACAGGAUUAGAUACCCUGGUAGUCCACGCCGUAACGAUGAGUGCUAAGUGU
rnacentral:rRNA from 1 species